rnacentral:rRNA from 1 species
CUACGGGGGGCUCCAGUGAGGAAUAUUGCACAAUGGGGGAAACCCUGAUGCAGCAACGCCGCGUGGAGGAUGACGCAUUUCGGUGUGUAAACUCCUUUUAUGAGUCAAGAAAAUGACGGUAGCUCAUGAAUAAGCACCGGCUAACUCCGUGCCAGCAGCCGCGGUAAUACGGAGGGUGCAAGCGUUACUCGGAAUCACUGGGCGUAAAGGACGCGUAGGCGGGCUUGUAAAUCAGGUGUGAAAUCCUACAGCUUAACUGUAGAACUGCACUUGAAACUACGAGCCUAGAGUAUGGGAGGGGCAGAUGGAAUUAGUGGUGUAGGGGUAAAAUCCGUAGAUAUCACUAGGAAUACCGAAAGCGAAGGCGAUCUGCUGGAACAUUACUGACGCUAAGGCGUGAAAGCGUGGGGAGCAAACGGGAUUAGAUACCCUCGUAGUC